rnacentral:rRNA from 1 species
CAAGGCAUACGGCUCAGUAACGCGUACCCUAUCUAACCUAUGGACGGGAAUAACCUCGGGAAACUGAGAACAUUGCCCGAUAGAACAUUAUGCCUGGAAUGGUUUAUGUUCCAAAUGAUUUAUCGCCGUAGGAUGGGACUGCGGCCUAUCAGUUUGUUGGUGAGGUAAUGGCCCACCAAGACUAUUACAGGUACGGGCUCUGAGAGGAGUAGCCCGGAGAUGGGUACUGAGACACGGACCCAGGCCCUAUGGGGCGCAGCAGGCGAGAAAACUUUGCAAUGUGCGAAAGCACGACAAGGUUAAUCCGAGUGGUUUCUGCUAAAGAAACCUUUUGUCAGUCCUAGAAACACUGAUGAAUAAGGGGUGGGCAAGUUCUGGUGUCAGCCGCCGCGGUAAAACCAGCACCUCAAGUGGUCAGGAUGAUUAUUGGGCCUAAAGCAUCCGUAGCCGGCUCUGUAAGUUUUCGGUUAAAUCUGUACGCUCAACGUACAGGCUGCCGGGAAUACUGCAGAGCUAGGGAGUGGGAGAGGUAGACGGUACUCGGUAGGAAGGGGUAAAAUCCUUUGAUCUAUUGAUGACCACCUGUGGCGAAGG